rnacentral:tRNA from 1 species
AGGCGCGUAGCUCAGUGGUAGAGCAUCUCUUUGACGUGGAGAGGGUCGGGGAUUCGAUCUCCUCCGCGCCUA